UUUUUUUUUUUUUUUGGCCGCCCAAGUACUUGCCCAACCAACUCCCAAACACACAACCUGGAAAGCUAUAUCACUGCUCUGAGCCUCAGUUUCUGCACCUAUAAAAUGAGGACUUGACAGGAGUUGCCGUCAUGACUCAGUGGUUAAUGAAUCCGACUAGGAACCAUGAGCUUGCGGGUUUGAUCCCUGGCCUUGAUCAGUGGGUUAAGGAUCCGGCGUUGCCAUGAGCUGUGGAGUAGGUUGCAGAUGCGGCUCAGAUCCUGCAUUGCUGUGGCUCUGGUGUAGGCCGGCGGCUACAGCUCCAAUUCAACCCCUAGCCUGGGAACCUCUAUAUGCUGUAGGAGCGGCCCAAGAAAUGGCAAAAAAAAAAAAAAAAGAGGACUUGACAAAUGGUAGCUGUCCAGCUGGGUAAUGAGGACUGAAUGCAUACUCAUAAUUUUAAUUAUAAAAUUACUCUUAAAAUUAAUAUUUAAUUCUCACAACAACCCUAUAAAAGCAAUACUACUACUCUAGCCAUUUACAGAUGAGAAAAUUAAGGCUUGGGGAAGUUAGAUACAACCACUGUGAACUAGAUUAACUAGGAUUCAAGACCAGGUCUAUUCAACUUGAGCUUGGUGUCUCAAACAUAAAGCUAAGCAGCCUGCUCCCUGUGCCCAGCCUGAACCUCGCUAAGUGAUGUGUGGGCCUGUCUUUGUGCAACUCCAUGGGUUUAGCGGUCAGACAGGCCAUCAACCUUCCAGCUCCAUUCAAAAAGGUACACAGAUAUGCAGACUGUCACAGGGGCCUAAAAGAGUUUGCCUAAGUGCAUAUGGAGGGAUGACAAACUUCACCCAAGUGGCAGGCCCCUGCGAUAAUAAUCCCAGGUGGCUGACCACUGCUUAUCUCUGACAGCCCUGCCUGAAUCAUCAUACCUCAUCCCAAACAAUCUGAUUGCCCCAAACACUGACAAGACUAGUUUACUCCUGAAAUUCUACAGUAAAAUGGGAAUUCAAACAGGCUGGAUUUAAAACACAGAAGAAAAGAAAAUUACUCACCCUGUCUAGGGGGCUGGGAGGAUUUCAUAUGAGCUGAUGAUGAAAACAGGAGGGAGAACAAAGGGGAGGGAGAGGGCCAAAAGGACCAGAAAGACACAAGAAGAGAGACAAUAAUGUGCUGAUGCUCAUGGCUGGGAGGAGAGGCAUGCGCUGGUGCAAUGUAUCUGCCUGAUGCUGUGGAGUGGGGCUGGAGGUAGGGAAGAAAAGUUUAGGUGCUGGGUGAAAGCUGCAGUAGGGAGAAAGAGAUAGGGUCUCCGAGCUUCUCAAAAUCCUAGUGGAGUCACAGGCUGCCUUCAAGCUUAGUGAGGACACAUCUUUUGCCCUGGUAAUUUACUAUAAGGACAUGCAACCUGCUCCAGGGGGCGAAAGCCUGGGAGAGCUGCUGGGGACCUAUGGUCACCAAUCCCUCUCUCUGAAGCAAGCAAGAGGCACCGAUCCACCUGCCAAGCGUGCCUUUAUGAGGUGAGCACUUGGGAGCCCAGACAGGCUGCCUGGGCACAGAACCCAAUAGCUGACAAGUCAGGCUCAUCAAAGAUACAAAGCCAUCCAUUCUAAAAUGCCCAUCAGGUUAGUCCAGCCUCAGGCCAGCUGGUCAAAGCAGCCAUGCUGGGCAGUGCAGAGGGGAGGCAGCGUCUGUCACCUGAGGACUUUGGAGCAGGGCCAGGAAGCUUUCCUCAGCAGGCAGUGCUUCCAAAUGACUCAAAUGGCCAUGGCUGCUGCUCCCAUAGCCCCUCUUCCCUGCCCAGACCCCAUACUCACCACAGGCCUGCCCAUAUGCAGUGGCCUGGACAAAGAGGACAUAGAGGGGAGGUGGUAGGUGUCUGGCUGUCUCAUACUGCUUGUGAGCCUGGUCGAAGGGCAUAAACAGGUACUCUUGCACUGGGAGGGAAGCCUGCAAGCAAUAAAAGAAGUGAUUUUGUUUUUCUUUUAUAGGUAGUCCUCACAGGACCAUGUGGCUGCUUAAUUAACUACAUAUAGUUUUUUAUUUUUGAAAGUGAUAUUCGAUAAGCUAACAAAACCAACCAGUGAAUAAAAGGUCAUUAAGAUAAGAAAAAUAAAGAGUUCCCUUAUGGCUCAGGGGUUAUGGAUCUAGCAUCUCUGCAGCGGCUUGGGUCACUGCUGUGGCAUGGGUUCACUCCCUAGCCCAGGAGCUUCCACAUGCUGUAGGCUUGGCCAAAAAAAAAAAAAAAAACACUUCUCUUUUUUUCAGGGCCACACCUGUGGCAUAUUGAAGUUCCUAAGCCAGGGGUCAAACCGGAGCUACAGCUGCUGGCCUACACCACGACAAUAUGGGAUCCAAGCUGAGUCUGCUACCUACACCAUAGCUCAUGGCAAAACAGGAUCCCCGAGCCACUGAGUGAAGCCAGGGAUCGAACCUGCAUCCUCAUGGAUACUAGUCGGAUUUGUUUAUGCUGCACCAUAUGGGAACUCCUUGUUUUUUUUUAAAUUGAAGUACAGUUAAUUUAUUUUUAUUUAUUUAUUCAUUUUGUCUUUUUGCCUUUUCUAGGGCCACUCCCGCAGCAUAUGGAGGUUGAGGAUUCCACACUGUCACUGCUGUGGCGUGGGUUCAAUCCCUGCCCUGGGAACCUUCCCAUCCCAUGGGUGGGGCCAAAAAAAAAAAAAAAAAAA
rnacentral:lncRNA from 1 species